UACGUAGGGUGCAAGCGUUGUCCGGAAUUAUUGGGCGUAAAGAGCUCGUGAGCGGCUUGUCGCGUCGGCUGUGAAAACCUGGGGCUCAACCCCGGGCCUGCAGCCGAUACGGGCAGCUAGAAUUCGGUAGGGGAGACUGGAAUUCCUGGUGUAGCGGUGGAAAUGCGCAGAUAUCAGGAGGAACACCGGUGGCGAAGGCGGGUCUCUGGGCCGAUAUUGACGCUGAGGAGCGAAAGCGUGGGGAGCGAACAGG
rnacentral:rRNA from 1 species